rnacentral:lncRNA from 1 species
CGGGGGGAUACAUUUUGCAGAAGGGGAAGCAGGCUCAGAGGGAGGGCGAUUUGCCCGAGAUUACACGGAGAAGAGAAGGCAGGACAGGGACUGGGGGAGGGACUGGGGCAGGGUCUGCGGCCCCGAGGCAGCUCUUCCCGGGGUUCCGGCCCCGUUGCUCAUCUGGACCGCCGGACCUGCACCGGAGCCGGCGCCCGGCUGGGUCCCACGGGGCCGGGACGGCGCGGCGACCCGGGAGCGGCCGGCAGAGGGCGCUGUCGACGCGCGUCCCCGGGAGGGAGGCGCGGGCCCGGGAGGCGAGGCCGCGGCGGGGCUGUAGGAGCCCGUGGGAGGCCUUCACCGGCCUGGGGACGGGUGCGGAGGGCGGCAGGCUUCCCGGGAGAUGACUUGUUGACCGCACCCCGAAGGGAGCUCAGAGCGAGGGAGGGACCGGCCCUGCAGCCAGACAGAGGGAUGAAGAAGGUGUCUGUGCGGGAUGGGAAGUGACCUCGAGCCGUAUUGUCAGAUGCUGUGAAUGAAAAAAAGCCAAGCGCUGAGCAGGGUGCGGUGUCUGCUCACACUCCAGUUGAAAAGGGAGUGGGAGGGUGGAAAACAGAGGUGGAGUUGCCUACACGUGCAUAAAAUAUUUCUAAAUUCUUAACAGGGGAUCGGUUAUAUUCUUUACCCCCAGGGACGGGACUGGGUGGCUGGAGUUCAUGGUUAAAGGAAACUUUUUGCUGCACAUGUAUGAAAUACUUAAAAGGGGUAUUUUUAUGUGUUAACUUUCUGAAACAAGGGCUGAGAAGGCGAAGUAAGUACAUUAGUUCAGGGGUUCAAAUUCCAACACCAACAAGGGCCAGGCAAGCAAUGUGAAUGAGUGAAAUAGGGAGUGGUAGGGACUGUGAGACAUUAGGGACUGGUGGGGACUGAGUCUGUGAGGUAGGUUCUGGGAAAUUAUUUCUCUUCAUGAUAAAAGGGACAGAUACUUUUAGUUAACCCUAAACUUAACCAUUUCUCUUCCUUCCUGUCUUAAAUGUGAAUGCAGGUGCAGUGCCAGGAGCAAUAGCAGCCAUCUUGCAAACAAGAGGAAAAAGCCAAGAGAAUUGCAGAGACACCAGCCCUGACAUCAUUUGCCUGGAAAAACAAUGCCAGCCAUAGCUGAUCUCCAAGCUCACCGUGAUAGGGGAAAAUAAACUCUUUGUCAAGCCACUGUGAUCUGUUUUC